rnacentral:rRNA from 1 species
GAUGAACGCUGGCGGCGUGCCUAAUACAUGCAAGUCGAGCGAACGGACGAGAAGCUUGCUUCUCUGAUGUUAGCGGCGGACGGGUGAGUAACACGUUGAUAACCUACCUAUAAGACUGGGAUAACUUCGGGAAACCGGAGCUAAUACCGGAUAAUAUUUUGAACCGCAUGGUUCAAAAGUGAAAGACGGUCUUGCUGUCACUUAUAGAUGGAUCCGCGCUGCAUUAGCUAGUUGGUAAGGUAACGGCUUACCAAGGCAACGAUGCAUAGCCGACCUGAGAGGGUGAUCGGCCACACUGGAACUGAGACACGGUCCAGACUCCUACGGGGGGCAGCAGUAGGGAGUCUUCCGCAAUGGGCGAAGGCCUAACGGAGCAAAGCCGCGUGAAUGCUGAAGGUCUUCGGCUCGUAAAACUAUGUUAUUAGGGAAGAACAUAUGUGUAAGUAACUGUGAACAUCUUGACGGUACCUAAUCAGAAAGCCACGGCUAACUACGUG